UACAGAGGUGGCAAGCGUUGUUCGGAAUUACUGGGCGUAAAGGGCGCGUAGGCGGCCUACUAAGUCAGACGUGAAAUCCCCCGGCUUAACCUGGGAACUGCGUCUGAUACUGGAAGGCUCGAGUAUGGGAGAGGGAUGUAGAAUUCCAGGUGUAGCGGUGAAAUGCGUAGAUAUCUGGAGGAAUACCGGUGGCGAAGGCGGCAUCCUGGACCAUUACUGGCGCUGAGGCGCGAAAGCUAGGGGAGCAAACGGG
rnacentral:rRNA from 1 species